AUUGUAGGUUGAGUAGACUCAUUCAAGCUGAUUCUUCUACUUUGAAAUCUGAGUCUUCCACUUACUAACUAGGUGAUCUGAACAAGUUAACAGCUCUGAGGUUGAGUUUCCCCAACUGGAGAAUGGGAAUGAAAUUCCUUUCCUUUUAGACCUGCUGCCUUGAUCACAGAAGACCUAGAGAUUCCAUUUGAAGUUCAUAGAUUUGUCUUAAAUGAACUAUUACAAACAGAACAGUAUUUUUUUUACCUUUAAAGAUGGAGAUGGUGGUGAUAAGUAGAAGGAAGACUGCAUCCUCUUCUCAGAUAUUGGUAGAAGACAUACGGGAUCCCUGGGUGGCGCAGC